rnacentral:rRNA from 1 species
GACGAACGCUGGCGGCGUGCUUAACACAUGCAAGUCGAACGGAAAGGCCCUGCUUUUGUGUGGUGCUCGAGUGGCGAACGGGUGAGUAACACGUGAGUAACCUUCCCUGGACUUUGGGAUAACUUCAGGAAACUGGGGCUAAUACCGGAUAGGAGCUCCUGCUGCAUGGUGGGGGUUGGACAGUUUGGGCGGUUGGGGAUGGACUCGCGGCUUAUCAGCUUGUUGGUGGGGUAGUGGCUUACCAAGGCUUUGACGGGUAGCCGGCCUGAGAGGGUGACCGGCCACAUUGGGACUGCGAUACGGAGCAGACUCCUACGGGAGGCAGCAGUGGGGAAUAUUGCACAAUGGGCGGAAGCCUGAUGCAGCAACGCCGCGUGCGGGAUGACGGCCUUCGGGUUGUAAACCGCUUUCGCCUGUGACGAAGCGUGAGUGACGGUAAUGGGUAAAGAAGCACCGGCUAACUACGUG